GUUCAUGCUUUAACUUUUGAAUUAUUUUGUAUUUAUAGUUUGCCUUCGUGAAUUAAAUAAACUCUGGAGCUAAAAACAUGAGUUACUUAAAUGGCAAUAACUGCGCUCAAAUCUUCUGAUGAAGAUCUUCAACACCUUCUAUGUUCAAGCGACUUAUGCAGCACAUGAUAAUUCAGAAUCACCAUGUACAUAGAGUAUGGAGAGUUUUUGUUGUGAUUCUGACUACAAUAGAAACGUUACACUCCUUGCCGGGAUCUAGAAAGUUCAAUACGGC